AAAAACAAAAAAAACAUGCUCAACAGUUGCCAACUGAAGGAUUUAUUCUAAAGAUGCAUCUCAGAUUGAUGUUAACAGUUCUUCUCUGUUUCACUUCGUGGGUGAACUUUGUCCAAACAUCUGCUGCAUGUGCAAAUAACUGCUGCUGUAUUAGUUGGUCCACGACUCAAGUUAGAUGGACUCAAAUUAAGAACUAUGCCAUUCAGAGGGAAAACCGAUGUCUCAUCAAUGCAAUUGUGUUUGAGACAAAGAGUGGGCAGAUAAUUUGCAGCAAUCCCAUCAACAAAUGGGCAAAGCAGGUUAUUCGGAAAAUGGAAACAGAAGCGAUAUCAUCAGGAAGCAGUGACCAGGGGGAAUAAGACAUUGGCAUCAACAACAAGGAAGAAAUGUAUGGAAAUAAAUCUGUAUCGCUGGGAUUCAAAUUAAAAAUGCCACUGAAAUAUAAA